rnacentral:rRNA from 1 species
UACGUAGGCAGCAAGCGUUGUUCGGAGUUACUGGGCGUAAAGGGUGCGUAGGCGGCUUUUUAAGUUGGUGUGAAAUCUCCCGGCUCAACUGGGAGGGUGCGCCGAAUACUGAGAGGCUAGAGUGUGGGGAGAAGGAAAGUGGAAUUCCUGGUGUAGCGGUGAAAUGCGUAGAUAUCAGGAGGAACACCGGUGGUGUAAACGGCUUUCUGGACCAUAACUGACGCUGAGGCACGAAAGCGUGGGUAGCAAACAGG